UAGUUGAAAUAAGUUUAAUUGCAAUAUGAUUAUGAAAGUUGUAAUAAAUUCCUAACAUAAAAAUAUAAAUAAUUUUAAAAAACUAAGUAUUCUAAAAAAAAAUAAAAUAAGUGUAUUCACUUGCAAUUUGAAUGGGGCUCUUUAGUUGAGUUAUUAUUAAAUAUGUUUAAUCUAAAAGCCCGACCCAAAAAGGUAUUGGCUCUAGGGUUUCAGAUUGAGUAGUUUUAACACAUAGAAGAAGCUUAUCGCCAAUUCCUUCUGAUUCUCAUCUCUCCCUCCCUUUGACUAUUAUCAGCACGGAGGUCUGCCGAAUGGUGGUUCUUGCUGGCGGCCCUUGUCCAUAUGGCCACUUGCGAUUUCUGCCAUUCCCUCACUGAUCAGGUACCCUAUACCUCUUUUUGACUUUACGGUACAAGGAGUAACAUCGAUGUCUGUUGAUGUACACAAGUAUGGAUUGACUCCAAAAGGAACAAGUGUGGUCCUAUACAAGAACCAUGAAAUUCGAAAGAAAAGCACUUACAUAAAUUAUGGAAAGCAGGAAAUGUACUGGUAUCAAUUGCUAACAUAUUGUAUACUAUAUGUUGUAUUGAGCCUUCCUGCAUUGAAUUUCGGCAAGCUGUGUCUUCAGUUUUAUGGUAGCAAAGUUCUGUUGUUUUUCACCUUAGUGAAAAAUUGAUUAUUGAACGGGCUUUAAGAGUUGAGUGGGACAACACAAUAUGUUUUGUUAAUUCCGUAUCUUUUGUGAUCGUGCUAGUUUUUGGUGGUUUAAAUCUUAUAGACUUUUUUCUCAUUCAUUCUUUAUUCUUCUCUAUACAAAUGGGGGUGGAUUAUAAUUGGCUUAUGCUCUUAACUGAGUUAACAUUGGUUGCAAAGAGCAUCAAUUUGUUGCAGGUAAAUUAUUGCACUUAAACAAAAUACUAGUGGAGUACUUGGUCUAUAUGUGACAUCCUAUAACUGUUUAUAUAUUUUGCCUCUUCUAUAAUUACUGAGUGGGCUGGAGGACCUUACGUUUCUCCAACAAUAGCGGGAAGCCGGCCUGGAAAUUUGAUUGCAGGUGCUUGGGGCUGCAAUGAUGGCUAUAGGUUUAGAAGGCUACUUGGAGAAUACACGAGAGGGUAGGUGUAUGAGUUAUAUACAUUAUGAAGUGAACCUCUAAAAGAAUACAGAGAGGAGUACAAAACAUCCAUGAGUUGUCCAUCAUUGGAAGACCUGACAUGACAAUAGUGGCUUUUGGGUCCAAUGUUGUGGACAUAUUUGAAGUCAACGACAUUAUGUCUUCAAAGGACUGGCAUUUGAAUGCAUUGCAGAAACACUAGCAUAAAGCCAGAUUGACUUAGUUUAGUUAUGCUUAAAUUUUUUUUUUUAUAUAAGACAGAUUUUCCCACAUCGCUACUUUAAAUAUAAAAUAGUAUGUAUAUAACUAAUUAGAAUUCAUAGUA